rnacentral:rRNA from 1 species
GGCGGACGGGUGCGUAACACGUGAACAAUCUGCCGGAAGGAAGGGGAUAGCCCAUGGAAACGUGGAUUAAUACCCUGUGUGGUUCUGCUGGGCAUCCAGCGGCAAUCAAACGUGGGGCAACCUGCGGCCUUCCGAUGAGUUCGCGGCCUAUCAGCUUGUUGGCGGGGUAACGGCCCACCAAGGCGAUGACGGGUAGCUGGUCUGAGAGGAUGACCAGCCACACUGGAACUGAGACACGGUCCAGACACCUACGGGUGGCAGCAGUCGAGAAUCAUUCACAAUGGGCGAAAGCCUGAUGGUGUGACGCCGCGUGGAGGAUGAAGGUCUUCGGAUUGUAAACUCCUGUCAUGUGAGAGUAAGAUUCAGGGAGUAACUACCUGUGAAUUUGAGAGUAUCACAAGAGGAAGAGGCGGCUAACUCUGUGCCAGCAGCCGCGGUAAUACAGAGGCCUCAAGCGUUGUUCGGAAUCACUGGGCGUAAAGGGUGCGUAGGCGGCGCGGAAAGUCAGAGGUGAAAUCCCGGAGCUCAACUCCGGAACUGCCUUUGAUACUCCCGCGCUUG